UACGGAGGGUGCAAGCGUUAUCCGGAUUCACUGGGUUUAAAGGGUGCGUAGGUGGCGCUGUAAGUCGGGUGUGAAAUUUCGGAGCUUAACUCCGAAACUGCAUUCGAUACUGCGGUGCUUGAGGACUGGAGAGGAGACUGGAAUUUACGGUGUAGCGGUGAAAUGCGUAGAGCUCGUGAGGAAGACCGGUGGCGAAGGCGGGUCUCUGGACAGUGCCUGACGCUGAGGCGCGAAGGCUAGGGGAGCAAACGGG
rnacentral:rRNA from 1 species